GUCGAGUCGGCCUGCGCGGAAGAUGUAACGGGGCUAAGUAGUAAACCGAAGCUGCGGCAAUGUGCUUUUGCACAUUGGGUAGGGGAGCGUUCUGUAAGCGGUUGAAGGUGUGUGGUAACGCAUGCUGGACGUAUCAGAAGUGCGAAUGCUGACAUGAGUAACGAUAAAGGGGGUGAAAAACCUCCUCGCCGGAAGACCAAGGGUUCCUGUCCAACGUUAAUCGGGGCAGGGUAAGUCGACCCCUAAGGCGAGGCCGAAAGGCGUAGUCGAUGGGAAACGGGUUAAUAUUCCCGUACUUCUUACAAUUGCGAUGGGGGGACGGAGAAGGCUAGGUGGGCCUGGCGACGGUUGUCCAGGUUCAAGUGCGUAGGCUUAAGAGUUAGGUAAAUCCGGCUCUUUUUAAGGCUGAGACACGACGUCGAGCACCUACGGGUGUGAAGUCAUUGAUGCCAUGCUUCCAGGAAAAGCCUCUAAGCUUCAGAUUGUAAGGAAUCGUACCCCAAACCGACACAGGUGGUCGGGUAGAGAAUACCAAGGCGCUUGAGAGAACUCGGGUGAAGGAACUAGGCAAAAUGGUACCGUAACUUCGGGAGAAGGUACGCUCUUGAUGGUGAAGUCCCUU
rnacentral:rRNA from 1 species